rnacentral:rRNA from 1 species
UACAGAGGUCCCGAGCGUUGUUCGGAUUCACUGGGCGUAAAGGGUGCGUAGGUGGUGAGGUAAGUCGGAUGUGAAAGGCCAUGGCUUAACCAUGGAAUGUCAUUUGAGACUGCGCGUCUAGAGUCGAAGAGAGGGAAGCGGAAUUUCCGGUGUAGCGGUGAAAUGCGUAGAUAUCGGAAGGAACACCCGUAGCGAAGGCGGCUUCCUGGAUUCAGACUGACGCGUGAGGCGGCGAAAAGCGUUGGGUAGCGAACAAGG